UUUCAGUUCUAUUCACUCUUCUCAACUGUGGUGUUAAAUUUUCAGAUGUUGUGACAAUGUCUAUUGAGGGACUUACUGAGGCCUAUUCCAUGUUGCAAUAUCAGAAUGGUUUUCCUUAGGUUAAGGUUGUCUUAAGUGCUGAUAUUUCUGGUGAAAAAGUAUGACAAGAUCGUGUUAAUAUCAAGUCUUCCAUUUGAGCUAUGUCCCAUUUCUCUAUUUCAAUACUGAAAUUUUUUUUAUUAGUAGGGCUAACAACUAUGCAUUCAAAGCUCCAUAUAUAAGUUAAAAAUGGAUGAAGCUUGAUAGAUCAGCGUUUUUGUCUUUAUAGUGCCAGAUACAAUAUGCUAUGUUCUCAUAAGUAGGUCAUACGUUCAUCAUAUUGGCAUUUUAUGUUUUUUCUCAAUCAUAUUUAAUGUUGUAGAAGGGUGAUACCUCGAAAAAUUUAACUUUUUUUAUGCAGUGU